UUCUUUAUAUACUUUGGAUAUAAAUCACUUCUCAGAUGGAGAAAUUGAGGCUCAGUCCAGAAACUCUUCUCUCUACCUAAGACUGAAUGUUCCAAGGGAGCAGGUUUAACGAACCCACAAGUCUUUUGCGGUGGAAAGUAAAUUGUGCCAAAGGUAUUUAUUCA